rnacentral:rRNA from 1 species
AAUGAACGUUGGCGGCGUGGAUUAGGCAUGCAAGUCGCACGAGAAACUAAUUAGCUUGCUAAGAGGUGGACAGUGGCGCAAGGGAGAGUAACGCGUGGUUACUUGCCCUCGAGACCAGGAUAGUGUCGGGAAACUGGCAGUAAUACCGGAUAACAUCUUCGGAUCAAAUGGUGUGAUUCCGCUCGAGGAUAGGACCGCGUACUAUUAGCUUGUUGGUGAGGUAAUGGCUCACCAAGGCUUCGAUGGUUACCGGGUGUGAGAGCAUGGCCCGGCUCACUGGGACUGAGACACUGCCCAGACACCUACGGGUGGCUGCAGUCGAGAAUCUUCGGCAAUGGACGAAAGUCUGACCGAGCGACGCCGCGUGCGGGAUGAAGGCCCUCGGGUUGUAAACCGCUGUCAGUAGUUAGGAAGUCCAUGAGGGUUAUCUCUCAUGGUUGACCGAUCUUCAGAGGAAGGACGGGCUAAGUUCGUGCCAGCAGCCGCGGUAAGACGAACCGUCCAAACGUUAUUCGGUAUCACUGGGCUUAAAGCGUGCGUAGGCGGCUUGGUAGGUGAGAUGUGAAAGCCCACGGCUCAACCGUGGAAUUGCGUUUCAAACCCCCAAGCUCGAGGAAGAUAGGGGUGAUGGGAACUUAUGGUGGAGCGGUGAAAUGCGUUGAUAUCAUAGGGAACACCGGUGGCGAAAGCGCAUCACUGGAUCUUUUCUGACGCUGAGGCACGAAAGCUAGGGUAGCGAACGGG